AUUGAACGCUGGCGGCAUGCCUAACACAUGCAAGUCGGGCGGAGCGGCGGACGGGUGAGUUAUGUAUAGUGAUCUGCCUGCUGGAGGGGGAUAACUACUGGAAACGGUAGCUAAUACCGCAUACUGUCAGAUGAACCUAGGUCGGAUUAGCUAGUUGGGGGGGUAAUGGCCUACCAAGGCGACGAUCAGUAACUGGUCUGAGAGGAUGAUGAGUCACACUGGAACUGAGACACGGUCCAGACUCCUAAGGGAGGCAGCGGUGGGGAAUAUUGGACAAGGGGCGAAAGCCUGUUCCAGCCAUGCCGCGUGUGUGAAGAAGGUCUUCGGAUUGUAAAGCACUUUAAGUUGGGAGGCGUUACCAACAGAAUAAGCACCGGCUAACUUCGUGCCAGCAGCCGCGGUAAUAC
rnacentral:rRNA from 1 species